rnacentral:rRNA from 1 species
AUUGAACGCUGGCGGCAUGCCUUACACAUGCAAGUCGAACGGCAGCACGGGGGCAACCCUGGUGGCGAGUGGCGUACGGGUGAGUAAUGCAUCGGAACGUGUCCUCUUGUGGGGGAUAACCAGUCGAAAGACUGGCUAAUACCGCAUGAGCUCGAGAGGGGAAAGCGGGGGACCGCAAGGCCUCGCGCGAGAGGAGCGGCCGAUGUCCGAUUAGCUAGUUGGCGGGGUAACGGCCCACCAAGGCGACGAUCGGUAGCUGGUCUGAGAGGACGACCAGCCACACUGGGACUGGGACACGGCCCAGACUCCUACGGGAGGCAGCAGUGGGGAAUUUUGGACAAUGGGCGCAAGCCUGAUCCAGCCAUGCCGCGUGUGUGAAGAAGGCCUUCGGGUUGUAAAGCACUUUCGGGCGGAACGAAAUCGCGCGGAUGAACAAUCCGCGUGGAUGACGGUACCGCAAGAAGAAGCACCGGCUAACUACGUGCCAGCAGCCGCCGUAA